UGAGGAAUAUUGGUCAAUGGACGCAAGUCUGAACCAGCCAAGUAGCGUGCAGGAUGACGGCCCUAUGGGUUGUAAACUGCUUUUAUAUGGGGAUAAAGUGGGGAACGUGUUCCCUUUUGCAGGUACCAUAUGAAUAAGGACCGGCUAAUUCCGUGCCAGCAGACGCGGUAAUACGGAUGGUUCGGGCGUUAUCCGGAUUUAUUGGGUUUAAAGGGAGCGUAGGCCGUUUGGUAAGCGUGUUGUGAAAUGUAGGAGCUCAACUUCUAGAUUGCAGCGCGAACUGUCAGACUUGAGUGCGCACAACGUAGGCGGAAUUCAUGGUGUAGCGGUGAAAUGCUUAGAUAUCAUGACGAACUCCGAUUGCGCAGGCAGCUUACUGUAGCAUAACUGACGCUGAUGCUCGAAAGUGCGGGUAUCAAACAGG
rnacentral:rRNA from 1 species